GCCAGAAGUUAUACUGUCUUCCAUCUUCAGGGAACACCUCGAGGAAGAGACGAUCAGACCAAUCAAGGGACUGACCUUGUUCUGGAAUAGGAUCAGCUCCAUAACCUUGGAAAUCAACAACUGAUUUAGCAUACUUGUUCUUCUCUUCCAUUGGCUGUUUGAAGAAUUCCCGUGAAACUUGGCGGAUCUUGUCCAGUAAAGAAACUGAAAUUCCGUGUCCUAUUCCCUGAAAACAUCCCCAAGAAGAUAGAGCUGACCCAAGUUUUUCCA
rnacentral:misc_RNA from 1 species